rnacentral:rRNA from 1 species
GAUGAACGCUGGCGGCGUGCCUAAUACAUGCAAGUCGAGCGAACAGACGAGGAGCUUGCUCCUCUGACGUUAGCGGCGGACGGGUGAGUAACACGUGGAUAACCUACCUAUAAGACUGGGAUAACUUCGGGAAACCGGAGCUACUACCGGAUAAUAUAUUGAACCGCAUGGUUCAAUAGUGAAAGACGGUUUUGCUGUCACUUAUAGAUGGAUCCGCGCCGCAUUAGCUAGUUGGUAAGGUAACGGCUUACCAAGGCAACGAUGCGUAGCCGACCUGAGAGGGUGAUCGGCCACACUGGAACUGAGACACGGUCCAGACUCCUACGGGAGGCAGCAGUAGGGAAUCUUCCGCAAUGGGCGAAAGCCUGACGGAGCAACGCCGCGUGAGUGAUGAAGGUCUUCGGAUCGUAAAACUCUGUUAUUAGGGAAGAACAAAUGUGUAAGUAACUAUGCACGUCUUGACGGUACCUAAUCAGAAAGCCACGGCUAACUACGUG